UCUCUCUCUCUCUCUCUCUCUCUCUCUCUCUCUCUCUCUCUCUCUCUCUCUCUCUCUCUCUCUCUCUCUCUCUCUCUCUCUCACCCUCAAUCUCUCCCUCCCUUCCUCACACCAUUCCCUUUAAGACAGCUUCCCUCACACCCUAUCUCACCAGCACCAUUCCCUUUAUUCCCCCAGCACCACCCACUCUCUCCCCUCACCCCAGCACACCCCUCUUCUCUCUCUUCCUAACACUCAUUCCUCAUUACCAGGAUGGGGACAGUACCUCCUCGUCACCCAGGUUUCGGAGGGGGGGGGAGGGGUGCGGCAGGACCAGACAGACUUGGAGUGGUUUGUGUGGAUCCCCAUCAUGCGUGCCUAUGCCCCCUUCGACCUGCUUCAUGUCAUGCUGGCUCAGACUGUCCGCAGGUUCUGGCCUCAGAUACGCAUGCACACACGCACGCACGCACGCACGCACGCACGCAAAGUGAUAGUUAUUACGUGUGGAAAGAGAAUUGCGUGUUCUGCUACUUCUUCUAAUACUACUAUUACUACUACUGCCGUGAAGAGAAAGCCUUCAGGUUGUUGAGAAAUGAGCCAAGAAUCUUCAGGGAGACCGCAUCAGUAUGGUCAACGCUAACACCUAUAGAUAUGUGAGUAG